GCAGAGUGCCAAAGGGGAAGAGAUGCGGAGCAAAGAACUGGAAACUUCUCAGGCAUUCACAUUGGCAACUCCUGUUCCAAGAAUAAUUAUUUAUGACAGAUUUCAAUUUUCGGGGCAGGGAUGGUGUCUUACUCAUCCUGGGCUUCAGGACAUCUGUGUAACAGACGCUCCAGGUGAAGCAGUGAUGUCAACCCUGGCUGAACACUGGAAUCACCUGGGAAGAUCAAAAAGCAACACCUCCUGCAUCUAGGUUUGGUCUGGAUAUUGGAAUUUUUUAAUGUCCUGGUGGUUUUAAUGGGCACGCAAGGUUGAGAACUACUUAUUUAUAGUUUUCAUCAAAAGUCUGUCUGGUAAACUCUUAAGUCUUUUUCAGUCUGAAGUCUUUAUUUUGAAUUCAAUCUUAAUAAAAAUUUGGUGGUUUA
ensembl:lncRNA novel transcript